rnacentral:rRNA from 1 species
UACGUAGGGUGCAAGCGUUGUCCGGAAUUAUUGGGCGUAAAGAGCUCGUAGGCGGUUUGUCGCGUCUGCUGUGAAAACCCGAGGCUCAACCUCGGGCCUGCAGUGGGUACGGGCAGACUAGAGUGCGGUAGGGGAGAUUGGAAUUCCUGGUGUAGCGGUGGAAUGCGCAGGAUAUCAGGAGGAACACCGAUGGCGAAGGCAGAUCUCUGGGCCGUAACUGGACGCUGAGGAGCGAAAGCAUGGGGAGCAAACAGG